UAAAACCAGCACCUCAAGUGGUCAGGAUGAUUAUUGGGCCUAAAGCAUCCGUAGCCGGCUCUGUGAGUUUUCGGUUAAAUCUGUACGCUCAACGUACAGGCUGCCGGGAAUACUGCAGAGCUAGGGAGUGGGAGAGGUAGACGGUACUCGGGAGGAAGUGGUAAAAUGCUUUGAUCUCUCGAUGACCACCUGUGGCGAAGGCGGUCUACCAGAACACGUCCGACGGUGAGGGAUGAAAGCUGGGGGAGCAAACCGGAUUAGAUACCCGGGUAGUCCCAGCUGUAAACUAUGCAAACUAAGUGAUGCAUUGGCUUGUGGCCAAUGCAGUAUUUCAGGGAAGCCGUUAAGUUUGCCGCCUGGGAAGUACGUACGCAAGUAUG
rnacentral:rRNA from 2 species